UAAUUUUAUAAAUAUUGAUACAAAUACAUCCACCAUAUAACCCAAUUCCAAAAUAAAACCUGUUCUAUAAUUUAUUUAUCCGUCCUGUGAUUUUUUUUUAAAGUAGUAAUUUUUAAAAUUUAAGAAUUAUUUUUAUAUAUAAAAGUUUUACAAAUUGUAUCAUUCUCUAAUACAUUUAUAUUUUAUAAUUUAAUUUUAUAUAUAGUAACAUUAUACAUACCACAUAACAUUUUUGGUUUUAUAUAAUCUUUUCUAAAUUAGGAUGAUUUGAUAUGUUUAAUACUAGUGGUCUUAAAAAAUAAUAAAUUAAAGAUUUAACCCGUAUUGAAACGGUGGAUUAAUUAUAUUUUACUUUUUAUUAAUGUUGAUUCAAAAACCCGUCACUCCAAAUCUGUCUUGCCAAAAAGCCAUUUAUUUUAUUAAUAUUAAUUUUACUAAUGAUAUGACUCUGAAUUAUAAUUUAAAUAUUUUAGCUAAUAACAUAGGAGUACACCAUAUUUAUUUAAUAGGAGAAUGUCAAUGCACUUUUACCCAAAUCCACCAAAAAAGUCUUGCAAAAAUACUAUAGAGAUAAGAAACGAUAGUCGGUUUUGAUAGGUAUAAGAUUAGCAAAUAUAUUAGUUAGCUUAAAUUAGUUAAAAAAUACAAAUCGAAAAGGAUAUUACACUUUAUUCGAAUAUAGUAUCAAAACUUAUAUAACACAGAGAUUUGAUAAAAUUUUAAUUGUUGAAUACUUUUUUUUGUGCUAAUUUUUAUGUGAUUAAGAUUUAAUUGAUUUUGUAUAUAAAAUAUUAAAUUGUUUUACGAACUUAUUUGUUUAUAAUUUGGUAACAGAUAGAUAUUUGAGUAUUCAGUAUAUUUUGCUUCAGUUUAGGAAAUCUUUGAUGACCCGUCUUUAGAUCCAAUAAGCCCUAUAAUCUAGAUAUUAACCUGUAGUAUACCGCAUGUAAGCUUAUAUUUUAGUUAAACUAAAAACUUUUAUUGUAAAGAUGAUUUAAAAAUAUAUGAUAUUAUUUUAUUUGAUUUUAAAUGUAUAGUAAACUGUGAGUUGUAUAUGUUUUGUUGAUAUUAUCUAUAUUGUUUAGUGUUUAAGAUUAUACACUUGUAGUUUGAUUGUUAAUUUAAGAGUUUCACCUGUAGUAUACCAUCUUGUAUUAAUAUCGAUCUAAACCCGUCAAUUCUAGGAUUUUCCAGCUUGUAUUAAAAAUUGAAUUACAUCAUACACAUAAAAAAAUUU
rnacentral:sRNA from 1 species